UACGUAGGGUGCAAGCGUUGUCCGGAAUUAUUGGGCGUAAAGAGCUCGUAGGCGGUCUGUCACGUCGGACGUGAAAAUCCAGGGCUCAACCCUGGACCUGCGUUCGAUACGGGCAGACUAGAGUUCGGUAGGGGAGACUGGAAUUCCUGGUGUAGCGGUGAAAUGCGCAGAUAUCAGGAGGAACACCGGUGGCGAAGGCGGGUCUCUGGACAGUUCCUGACACUGAGGCACGAAGGCCAGGGGAGCAAACGGG
rnacentral:rRNA from 1 species